CCUACGGGAGGCAGCAGUAGGGAAUCUUCCGCAAUGGACGAAAGUCUGACGGAGCAACGCCGCGUGAACGAUGAAGGCCUUCGGGUCGUAAAGUUCUGUUGUCAGGGAAGAACAAGUACCGGAGUAACUGCCGGUACCUUGACGGUACCUGACCAGAAAGCCACGGCUAACUACGUGCCAGCAGCCGCGGUAAUACGUAGGUGGCAAGCGUUGUCCGGAAUUAUUGGGCGUAAAGCGCGCGCAGGCGGUUCCUUAAGUCUGAUGUGAAAGCCCCCGGCUCAACCGGGGAGGGUCAUUGGAAACUGGGGAACUUGAGUGCAGAAGAGGAGAGCGGAAUUCCACGUGUAGCGGUGAAAUGCGUAGAGAUGUGGAGGAACACCAGUGGCGAAGGCGGCUCUCUGGUCUGUAACUGACGCUGAGGCGCGAAAGCGUGGGGAGCGAACAGGAUUAGAUACCCUGGUAGUCCACGCCGUAAACGAUGAGUGCUAAGUGUUAGAGGGUUUCCGCCCUUUAGUGCUGCAGCAAACGCAUUAAGCACUCCGCCUGGGGAGUACGGCCGCAAGGCUGAAACUUAAAGGAAUUGACGG
rnacentral:rRNA from 1 species